ensembl:lncRNA
GGAGUUCCUAUUUCAUGCUGGCAGUUCUAUUAUAAGGCAACUUCCCAUUUUUUUCACUGGGUGAUGGCAAAAUCUAGAAUCAUGAGAGCAGGGAAAAUAAAUCCAUUUCACGGGGUGACUGCAAUCUGUAGAAACAUGAGACAGGGAAAUGUCUCAAUUCUGCCCCCAUGCUCAAUUCAAAAACCUCUAUCACAAAGGAGAUAGAGAACUGGUGGGCCUCUUGGUUUUGCUGGACUACAACUCCCAUCACCCUUGCCCUUUGACCUAUACAGUGUGUGGCUGCUGGGAGUUGCAGUCCAAGAAUAUCUGAUGUUCUCCAUCCCGGGACUACAAGUUUAACAGCAGCUUCUUAGGUUUGUUUUGUUGUUGUUUUGUGUGGGCAACUGGAUUGGAGACACUAUAAGGCAAAAAUCUGCAUCACAAGUUUAAAGCACGGCUAAAAUGGCCGCUGUUUCUUUAAUGUGAAUAAAGCUGGGUCAGCAUGACUCAGCGGUCUGCACCAAAUUGUAUAUAUAAGUGAGAAAUGUUAGUUUGUUGCUGAGGCUGGUGUUUGGUGCUGGUGUGUAUAGUUAUUCAGUCGUGUUUUGCACAAAGACUUUUAAGAAUAAAACUCUGCAAGGAUAUUCUCGUGGACUCUUUUUGUGCCGACAAGGGUCCGAGGACCAGGCUGAAGAGGCAAAGGGAGGUCAGAACCUUUUCCUCCUUUUUUUUUUUUGCUUUUUACAAACACUGACAGGUUAUGGGCCCAGUGUUUCUGAGCAUGUGCAGAGUGCAAAAUGACUGACGGCAUCUCAGCAGGGAGCUGGUGAGUCCUGGUGGUGUAUGGAGCCGGUGGCUGUGCGUUGGAGCAGUUGGUGGCAAGCUGUAACUGUCUGCAGCGACGCUGGAGUGGCUAGGAUCUGAGGACCAGAAAAGCACUCAGCGUCGGCUACUGGAACAGUUUGAACUGCUAGAGGACCACAGUAGGCGACUCACAGAGCGGCUACACCAGUUGCAGAGCCAGGCGGGACCUGAGGGUCAACAGAGGCAGCAGCUAGAAGCCGUUUGCCUGAAAGCUGGUUGCCCGUGAUUAACAGCAUGGAGAGUAUGCGUCCCCCAGAUAUGACCCUUGAGUAUGUGGUUUGGAAGAUUGACCGAAGAAGCAGAAAGAAGGUCAGAUAAACAGGCUGAACUCCAAGAGCGGAGGAGUUACAGUCGAGGGGGCCAGCAGCAGAAUCUGCCAAUGGAGCAACGCCAAGGUUUGGACUUGGCCAUGGCAGUGAGGAGAUGCUAUAGAUGCAACCAACCCGGGCAUCUCCAACGUCAAUGCAGGGCAAGACUUCCAGGAGACGACGUGGAGCAGAGACAGCAAUCAACGCAGAAACGUAAGCAGAAGGGGUUCUCUUCAGAGAAGAAGAACACGCGUUCUGCUCAGUUUGUUUCUGCAUUUUCUCGAGAGGAGAGGAAGAUACCUCGAGGAACAUGGUUGCUGGACUCUGGGAGCAGCAGGAUAAUCUGCAACAGUCGGGAGGACUUUAAGACCCUGGGGAAGCCAGCUGAUGAAAAAGACUCAAUUUAUCUUGCUGAUGGUCGUAGAAGCAAGAUUGAUGGCCAGGGAACAUGUUUCCUGCAGUGCUUGAACACUACUCUACCAGAGACUCUGUUUGUCAGCAGUUUGGACUAUUGUUUGCUGUCUGUAAGCUGUUUGAUUAAUGCAGGGUAUAGUGUUAACUUCACAUGGGAUGGCUGUCUGAUAAAGAAUGGAACUCAGGUAUGUGGCCGUGCAAAGUUGGAAAAUGGGUUAUAUGUAAUGCAGGACAAGCCUGUUAAAGCAGCCCAGGUGGUUCAGGAUAAUUUGCCAGUUCAUAAGGGGUGUGUACAUGAACUGCACAGAAAACUGGGUCACGCCAAUUUCCGUGUGCUUUCAGAGAUGCAAAAGGUGUGCAAGAACCUAAAAGUAAACAGCUGUAACUGUUUCCUAGAUUGCAAUGUAUGUAAAAUGGCAAAAUCUAAGAGGAAGCCUGUGGCUUCUAAAAGUGACAGAGUAUCUAAAGAGGUUUUAGAACUUGUCCAUUGUGACGUGAUAGGCCCUUUUCCACAGAAGACUGAAGGGGGCGCCAGAUAUGCUUUUCUGGUAAUUGAUGAUAAAUCACGUUUUAGUUGGUUGUUUUUGUUAAAGCAGAAAUCUGAGUGUUUCCCCACAUUCAGAGAAUGGGUUGCCCAAGCUGAAAAGCUCUUCGCUCGCCCUGUUGUGCAGUUGCAAACAGAUAGGGGCGGAGAAUUUCUGAACAAACAAUUUGGGACAUGGUUGCGACGUAAGGGGAUCACUCAUCGUUUGACUAACCCUUAUAGCCAUGCUGAAAAUGGUCUGUGUGAAAGACGUGGGGCUGUAAUACAGUCAGUAAAGGACUGCCUACUAGUGGAUGCAGGAUUGGGUCACAACCAUAGGCUGUGGGGCGAGGCUUUUCUGACAGCGAACUUUUUGAUUAAUAGAACCUGGUCUAGCUCUAUAAAAGAUAUUCCUUAUCGUGUGUUGUUUGGGAAAGAACCAGAGUGGACAAUGCUCCAUAACUGGGGUGCUUGGGCACAUGUAAACAUCCCCAAAGCUCAGCGCCAGAAAGGGGGUGCUAGAGUGCAGAGACUGCGGUUUGUGGGAUAUCAGUCCUAUGGCAAAGGGUGGCGUUUCAAUUUAUGCCCAGGACGCGUGGUUCUGUCACGAAGUGCAGACUUCGCUGACCAGGACAGAUGGACUGUGAUCCAUGCCAACCCAGAUUGCCUACUGCCCCUGCAAGUAAGAGAAGAGGCUUCUUCUCAGCCAUUGGCAACACAGGAGCAGGAUGAGGAGGGGGCACAGAUUUCCCCAAAAGAUGUGGCAAUAGAUAAUACUUCUCUAGAGGAAGAGGAAGAAGAGCCAGAGAUAAGGGGGGAAGAAGAAGUAGUAGUGCCUAGGCGCACCCAGCGUUCAAACAAGGGUGUACCUCCUCAGCGUUUGACCCUAGGAGGAGUGAAAGUAUGCAAUGUGAGUUGUGUGGAACCACAAAGUUAUAAUGAAGUAUUAGACUUACCCCCUGGGGAACGUGCUUUGUGGGAACAAGCUAUGAAAGAAGAAAUGGACUCUUUUAAACGUAACAAAGUGUUUGAGGUCAUAAUGCCGCCACCUUGUGGCAGAGUGGUGUCAUGCAAGUGGGUUUACAAAAGGAAAACCCUUGCAUCUGGGGAACCACGUUUUCGAGCCAGAUUAGUAGCCAGAGGGUUCACUCAGAUUAAAGGGGAGAGUUAUGAUGAAGUGUUUUCUCCCACUGUAAAGAGUGAAACUUUUCGUUUAAUGCUUUCAAUUGCUGCUGUAAGACAACUAGCAGUGCACCAUUUCGAUGUUGAUGCUGCAUAUCUGCAUGCAAAUUUAGACCAUGAAGUGUUAAUGAGACAACCCCCUGGGUUUGAAGAGGAGAAUGGUGCAGUCUGGCGUUUGAGAAAGGCUGUUUAUGGUCUCAAACAAAGUGGAAGGUGUUGGAACCAGUGUUUAAAUGAAGCCCUUGUAAAACUUGGUUUUAAAAGGAGUGUGGCUGAUCCAUGCCUGUACACCAAGGGAUCAGGCAACAAAUAUCUAAUGCUCUUAGUCUUUGUUGAUGAUUUGCUUGUGGCAGGGAGUUCCACAGAUGAGAUCCAGAAGCUCACAAGUCAACUGGAAAAGAGGUUUAAGCUUAAAGCCUUGGGGCCUGUAAGCAAUUACUUGGGAGUAGAAGUAAGGCAGGAAGCUGAUGGAAGCUUCCUAUUGAGUCAGAAAGAGAAAAUUCUUCGUUUGAUAGAGCAGUUUGGCAUGGAAAACUGCAAGCCAGUUCAGACUCCCAUGACACCAGAUUUCCAAAAGACAGUGUGUGAUGAUGAAUUUGAUCAGCCUGAGUUGUAUCACUCAAAAAUAGGAUCACUGUUAUAUUUAAGCCAGUGGUCAAGGCCAGACAUUGCAUGUGCUACAAAUGUCCUGAGCCAACGUGUAUCUAAACCCAGUACUGCUGAUUGGUGUGCUUUGAAAAGGCUUAUCAGAUAUCUAAAGGGGACAUUAAAUGUAUGUUUGAAGAUAUCUAGUACACAAGACGAAAAACUAGAAGUAUUUGUUGAUGCGGACUGGGGAAGCUGUGUAGCUACCAGAAAAUCUACAAGUGGAAUGGUUAUGAUGUUUGCCAAUUCCAUAAUUGGGUGGAGGUCAAAGAAACAAGGAUUUGUUGCAACCUCAUCCUGUGAGGCAGAAUAUGGGAGCCUGUCGCUAGCAUGCAAUGAAAUCAUGUGGUUUAUACAGAUACUAAAAGAUCUAGAUUGUAAAGUGGAUUUGCCUAUCCAAGUGUAUGAAGAUAGCCAAUCGUGCAUUGCAUUAGCGGGCUCGGAAAUAAUGAAAUCCGCAUCAAAACAUAUUGCUAUCCGUCAUGCGAAUGUGAGAGAUUGUGUACAGAAUGGGGUAAUCAAACUGGAGUAUUGUCAAUCACAAGAUAAUAUUGCUGAUUUGUUCACCAAGCCUUUGCCAGCAUCAUGCCAUAAUGAACUGAUGACAAAACUGGGUUUAUGUAUAUAAUGUAUGUAUGUAUUGUUUCUGUUGGGGUUUUUCGCAUUUAAAGAAACAGAAGGGGUGUCACGGCUAAAAUGGCCGCUGUUUCUUUAAUGCGAAUAAAGCUGGGUCAGCAUGACUCAGCGGUCUGCACCAAAUUGUAUAUAUAAGUGAGAAAUGUUAGUUUGUUGCUGAGGCUGGUGUUUGGGUUGGUUGGUGCUGGUGUGUAUAGUUAUUCAGUCGUGUUUUGCACAAAGACUUUUAAGAAUAAAACUCUGCAAGGAUAUUCUCGUGGACUCUUUUUGUGCCGACAAGGGUCCGAGGACCAGGCUGAAGAGGCAAAGGGAGGUCAGAACCUUUUCCUCCUUUUUUUUUUUUUUUGCUUUUUACAAACACUGACAAAUAC